rnacentral:rRNA from 1 species
GAUGAACGCUGGCGGCGUGCCUAAUACAUGCAAGUCGAGCGAACGGACGAGAAGCUUGCUUCUCUGAUGUUAGCGGCGGACGGGUGAGUAACACGUGGAUAACCUACCUAUAAGACUGGGAUAACUUCGGGAAACCGGAGCUAAUACCGGAUAAUAUUUUGAACCGCAUGGUUCAAAAGUAAAAGACGGUCUUGCUGUCACUUAUAGAUGGAUCCGCGCUGCAUUAGCUAGUUGGUAAGGUAACGGCUUACCAAGGCAACGAUGCAUAGCCGACCUGAGAGGGUGAUCGGCCACACUGGAACUGAGACACGGUCCAGACUCCUACGGGAGGCAGCAGUAGGGAAUCUUCCGCAAUGGGCGAAAGCCUGACGGAGCAACGCCGCGUGAGUGAUGAAGGUCUUCGGAUCGUAAAACUCUGAUAUUAGGGAAGAAUAUAUGUGUAAGUAACUGUGCACAUCUUGACGGUACCUAAUCAGAAAGCCACGGCUAACUACGUGCCAGCAGCCGCGGUAAUACGUAGGUGGCAAGCGUUAUCCGGAAUUAUUGGGCGUAAAGCGCGCGUAGGCGGUUUUUUAAGUCUGAUGUGAAAGCCCACGGCUCAACCGUGGAGGGUCAUUGGAAACUGGAAAACUUGAGUGCAGAAGAGGAAAGUGGAAUUCCAUGUGUAGCGGUGAAAUGCGCAGAGAUAUGGAGGAACACCAGUGGCGAAGGCGACUUUCUGGUCUGUAACUGACGCUGAUGUGCGAAAGCGUGGGGAUCAAACAGGAUUAGAUACCCUGGUAGUCCACGCCGUAAACGAUGAGUGCUAAGUGUUAGGGGGUUUCCGCCCCUUAGUGCUGCAGCUAACGCAUUAAGCACUCCGCCUGGGGAGUACGACCGCAAGGUUGAAACUCAAAGGAAUUGACGGGGACCCGCACAAGCGGUGGAGCAUGUGGUUUAAUUCGAAGCAACGCGAAGAACCUUACCAAAUCUUGACAUCCUUUGACAACUCUAGAGAUAGAGCCUUCCCCUUCGGGGGACAAAGUGACAGGUGGUGCAUGGUUGUCGUCAGCUCGUGUCGUGAGAUGUUGGGUUAAGUCCCGCAACGAGCGCAACCCUUAAGCUUAGUUGCCAUCAUUAAGUUGGGCACUCUAAGUUGACUGCCGGUGACAAACCGGAGGAAGGUGGGGAUGACGUCAAAUCAUCAUGCCCCUUAUGAUUUGGGCUACACACGUGCUACAAUGGACAAUACAAAGGGCAGCGAAACCGCGAGGUCAAGCAAAUCCCAUAAAGUUGUUCUCAGUUCGGAUUGUAGUCUGCAACUCGACUACAUGAAGCUGGAAUCGCUAGUAAUCGUAGAUCAGCAUGCUACGGUGAAUACGUUCCCGGGUCU